CAGGGAGACAACAAAAUGUUUAAUAUUAUUAUUUUGUCACCUUAGGUCGAUCGGUAUCUCACAUUCUUAAUCUAUCAAGAAUUUUAUUUCCUAAGUUUUUUCUAGGUCACACCCAUUACUUUUCCUGGGCCAUUAGCUCAGGUGGUUAGAGCGCACCCCUGAUAAGGGUGAGGUCCCUGGUUCAAGUCCAGGAUGGCCCAUAUCUCUAUGUUGGGGGUAUAGCUCAGUUGGUAGAGCGCCUGCUUUGCAAGCAGGAUGUCAGCGGUUCGAGUCCGCUUACCUCCACUGAUUACCACCUCUUCCAUAAUUUUUAUUAGGGAAAUGUUUUGAGUAGUGAUCAAUUUCUGAACGAAUCUAGCUUCCUAAUGAAUUCAUUAAGAUGCUGGACUCAUUGAAUUUACUUCAUUGUUUUCAGAGAACCUUGACAACUGCAUAGAUUAUUUUUAAAGACAAUAAGCAUCUUUAUGAUGCAGAUUUAUUAUUUGUGCGAAAGCAUUAAUAACAAUUCUAUUAAGCUGAUGCUUCAAUUAUGAAGUUAUU
rnacentral:tRNA from 1 species